UCGAUGUUUUUCAAACUUGGCAACUUCAAGAUGGCUAGGCUGACUGGGAAAUUCUGGGAGUUGAACUCCACCCAUCUUAAAGUUGCCAAGUUUAAAAAACACCGAAACAAAUGGAGACAAAAGGGAACCUUAGCAAAUACUACAGAAUGAUAUAGCUGUUACCUGCCCUGCUGUUCAAACUGUAGUUUCUUUUAGGACAAGGAAUACUCUUCUGGACCAUUCUCCAGCAUCCAUUGCUCUCAACUAUUGGAAUUAGUGGCUAGAAGUUGAUGGGAUUUCUACUCCAUACCAAUUGAAAGAAUACACCUUGGGCCUGUGUAAGGCAUAGAAGAAUUGGAAAAGAAACAGAGAUGGGUAGUUGCCACAACUGCUUUAUUUGUGCUUUAUCAAAGAAAAAAAGACAACAGUAAAUUGGGUUCUUAGAAGGCCCAAGAUGUAGCAGGGAGAACUAAUUGAUCUUCAGCUUAUCCGUGGAAAUGCUGUCACCUAGUGGCAAAUAUCCUUUUAAAAAGAAGUGACGUAGUAUUGGGAAAGCUGCUCUAAAAUUCAGUAAAUGCUGAUGAAUAAAGGAUGUAAUUCCAUUCUGUCUAAGCUGGAGGAUGUUCUUGAAAUUUACCCUCUUCCUGAUCCCACAAUAGUAAAUGGAAAGAUAAUUAAGUUAUUGUUGAUUCUUUGUUGUUGUUAGUUGUGAAGUUGUGUCCGACCCAUCACGACCCCAUGGACAACGUUGCUCCAGGCC